CAAAAUUGGAAGACUCCCUUAAGCCAUUGUGCCCGUUACGUAUACCGUUGCUUCGUGCGUGGCGGCCCCGGGGUUUACCCCCCGGGCGCCCCUGGGCCCCACCGCGGGCGCCCGCCGGAGGUCACCAAACUCUUGAUAAUUUAUGGCCUCUCUGAGUCUUCUGUACUGAAUAAGUCAAAACUUUCAACAACGGAUCUCUUGGUUCUGGCAUCGAUGAAGAACGCAGCGAAAUGCGAUAAGUAAUGUGAAUUGCAGAAUUCAGUGAAUCAUCGAAUCUUUGAACGCACAUUGCGCCCGCCAGCAUUCUGGCGGGCAUGCCUGUUCGAGCGUCAUUUCAACCAUCAAGCCCCCGGGCUUGUGUUGGGGACCUGCGGCUGCCGCAGGCCCUGAAAAGCAUUGGCGGGCUCGCUGUCGCACCGAGCGUAGUACAUACAUCUCGCUCUGGUCGCGCCGCGGGUUCCGGCCGUUAAACCACCUUUUAACCCAAGGUUGACCUCGGAUCAGUAGGAAAGACCCGCUGAACUUAAGCAUAUCAAUAAGCGGAGGAAGAAU
rnacentral:rRNA from 1 species